rnacentral:rRNA from 1 species
CUACGGGAGGCAGCAGUGGGGAAUAUUGGACAAUGGGCGCAAGCCUGAUCCAGCCAUGCCGCGUGAGUGACGAAGGCCUUAGGGUUGUAAAGCUCUUUUGGCGGGGACGAUAAUGACGGUACCCGCAGAAUAAGCUCCGGCUAACUUCGUGCCAGCAGCCGCGGUAAUACGAAGGGAGCUAGCGUUGUUCGGAAUCACUGGGCGUAAAGCGCACGUAGGCGGAUUUGUAAGUCAGGGGUGAAAUCCCGGGGCUCAACCCCGGAACUGCCUUUGAUACUGCAAGUCUCGAGUCCGGAAGAGGUGGGUGGAAUUCCUAGUGUAGAGGUGAAAUUCGUAGAUAUUAGGAAGAACACCGGUGGCGAAGGCGGCCCACUGGUCCGGUACUGACGCUGAGGUGCGAAAGCGUGGGGAGCAAACAGGAUUAGAUACCCCGGUAGUC